rnacentral:lncRNA from 10 species
GUAGGUAAGAGACAAAAGGUUGCAUUCUUUUGAGUGUCUGAUCAGCCUUUCCAAUUCCAGCCAUCAGAUAUGCAUCUAUGUCAGUGAGCGGAGGGCGAGUUUGAGUUCUGUCUGUCCUUUGUCCACAGGGAAAUUCCUUAUGAGGGAGGCAAUCCUGCUCUGUCUGCAGAGAUGACAGAAAGCUGCACUCAAGCGGGACCCAGCCCCUUUCCAUUAUGGACGCAGAGAACUGAGGCCCAACACAGUCCUGGCACCCAGCCCCCUUUCCAUUACAAACGCAGAGAACUGAGGCCCAAGACAGUUCCUUGGCUGCAGAAGAGAAAGAAAAUGAGAAAACCAGGAAGAGCAAGAAAAGGAGGAACAGGAAAGGGAGUUUAUCAGUUUCAAAUAACACUGUUUAAUGAAGCAAUUUUUAACUCAUUUUUAUUUUAUUAAGUUGAACCUAAUUCAAUGUUUUACAUUGAACCAUAUGAAAUAGCCAUUUUUGCCAGUAAAACUGGAGAAUUUCAUGUAGUUCCACUUGAUGUAUCGUCGGUGGGAGUCAGUUCUGACUUGAUAUAUCGUUGGUGGGAGUCAGGUCUGACUUGAUAUAUUGUUGGUGGGGGUCAGUUCUGAGUUGGACCCACAUGUUUAGACCCUCUGGGUCAGGAAUUCACAGACUUUUUCAAAUUACCAAAUUCAGGAAUGAAAGAGUGGAUGACACUGUUGACCAGCCUUACAGAAACAGAAAGGGAUGUGAUGGGGAUUGCUAGGAGAACUGUGUGCCAAUAAAGUAGGUAACUAAGAGGAAAUGGAAAUUUUUACAAUAAUAAAAGCUACUGAAAUGAACUCAAGAAGAAACAGAAAAUCUGAAUACACCUAUAACAAGUAAAGAGACUUAAUUAGUAAUUUUAAAUUUUCCUACAAAGAAAAGCCCAGGCCCAGAUAGAAGUAAUACCAAAACUUCACUAACUCUUCCAAAAAAUAGAAGACCACUUCUAAGGAACACCUCCUGAUUCACUGUAUGAG